rnacentral:rRNA from 1 species
GAUGAACGCUAGCUACAGGCUUAACACAUGCAAGUCGAGGGGAAACGAUAUUGGAAGCUUGCUUCCGAUAGGCGUCGACCGGCGCACGGGUGAGUAACGCGUAUCCAACCUGCCCACUACUUGGGGAUAACCUUGCGAAAGUAAGACUAAUACCCAAUGACGUCCAUAGAAGACAUCUGAAAUGGAUUAAAGAUUCAUCGGUGAUGGAUGGGGAUGCGUCUGAUUAGCUUGUUGGUGGGGUAACGGCCCACCAAGGCGACGAUCAGUAGGGGUUCUGAGAGGAAGGUCCCCCACAUUGGAACUGAGACACGGUCCAAACUCCUACGGGAGGCAGCAGUGAGGAAUAUUGGUCAAUGGGCGAGAGCCUGAACCAGCCAAGUAGCGUGCAGGAUGACGGCCCUAUGGGUUGUAAACUGCUUUUAUAAGGGAAUAAAGUGAGCCUCGUGAGGCUUUUUGCAUGUACCUUAUGAAUAAGGACCGGCUAAUUCCGUGCCAGCAGCCGCAGUAA